AGUGAACGCUGGCGGUAGGCCUAACACAUGCAAGUCGAACGGCAGCACAGUAAGAGCUUGCUCUUACGGGUGGCGAGUGGCGGACGGGUGAGGCAUACAUCGGAAUCUACUUUUUCGUGGGGGAUAACGUAGGGAAACUUACGCUAAUACCGCAUACGACCUACGGGUGGAAGCAGGGGAUCUUCGGACCUUUCGCGAUUGAAUGAGCCGAUGUCGGAUUAGCUAGUUGGCGGGGUAAAGGCCCACCAAGGCGACGAUCCGUAGCUGGUCUGAGAGGAUGAUCAGCCACACUGGAACUGAGACACGGUCCAGACUCCUACGGGAGGCAGCAGUGGGGAAUAUUGGACAAUGGGCGCAAGCCUGAUCCAGCCAUACCGCGUGGGUGAAGAAGGCCUUCGGGUUGUAAAGCCCUUUUGUUGGGAAAGAAAAGCAGCAGGUUAAUACCCCGCUGUUCUGACGGUACCCAAAGAAUAAGCACCGGCUAACUUCGUG
rnacentral:rRNA from 1 species